rnacentral:ncRNA from 2 species
CGACCAUCCAGAGCGGCCGAGAGAUCUGGCUCGACGACGCCGCAGCAACCCGGCCCCCGGGUGCUACCGCCAGGACCGAUGGAGG